GACGAGGGGUCCAAGCGUUGCUCGGAAUCAUUGGGCGUAAAGCGGGUGUAGGCGGCUUUGCAAGUCGGAAGUGAAAUCCCUGGGCUUAACCCAGGACGUGCUUUCGAUACUGCUUAGCUUGAGUGUGGGAGAGGAUAGUGGAAUUCCAGGUGUAGUGGUGAAAUACGUAGAUAUCUGGAGGAACACCGGUGGCGAAGGCGGCUAUCUGGCCCAACACUGACGCUCAGACCCGAAAGCGUGGGGAUCAAACAGG
rnacentral:rRNA from 1 species